rnacentral:rRNA from 1 species
AGAGCGAACGCUGGCGGCAUGCUUAACACAUGCAAGUCGCACGGGCAGGGGAAACUCUGUCAGUGGCGGACGGGUGAGUAACGCGUAGGUAUCUGUCCAUGGGUGGGGGAUAACGGCGGGAAACUGCUGCUAAUACCGCAUGACACCUGAGGGUCAAAGGCGCAAGUCGCCUGUGGAGGAGCCUGCGUCCGAUUAGCUAGUUGGUGGGGUAACGGCCUACCAAGGCGACGAUCGGUAGCUGGUCUGAGAGGAUGAUCAGCCACACUGGGACUGAGACGCGGCCCAGACUCCUACGGGAGGCAGCAGUGGGGAAUAUUGGACAAUGGGCGCAAGCCUGAUCCAGCAAUGCCGCGUGGGUGAAGAAGGUCUUCGGAUUGUAAAGCCCUUUCGGCGGGGACGAUGAUGACGGUACCGCAGAAGAAGCCCGGCUAACUUCGUGCCAGCAGCCGCGGUAA